AGGGAAAUAAAUUUCUGCGUGUGUAUAAUAAAUUGUAAAUUUCAUGAUGAUAACAACACGCAUUUAUUAAAACAGAAAAAAAAAACGUAUAAAUAAUUAAAAACAACUUUCAAAUCAUUUUGUAUCAGCAAUAAUGACUCAAAAAAUGAUAUAAUUACAAUUUCUGUGACUCAUUGUUCAUGCAAUUUUUCAUAAACUGAAAAAAGUACAAAUUUUAUAAAUAAUUCACGACCAGAAGUACUUAAUGUACUCAUACAUCAUUACAUGUCGAUGUACGCUCAUUAAAGUUCGAAACAAGGUCAUUUAACUGUCCACAAUAUCCACAUACCUCUCCGUAAUACGAUCGCGAAUUUAAUUUCGUUUAAUUUCACCACGUCGAAAACCCCAGUGACUCACCUGAUAGCCCCCCGACUGGACAAACAAUGCGUCAGACGCAGGUAAGAAAAUAAGGAAAUUACCUUACCCCAACAACUGCGUGCUUUCAAUAUAAAAGAACGGCUUGGAUGGUUGAUGCGCUCAGUACACUCACCGCACCGAUCUCAUUAAACUAAACAAACAACAUUAAAUUAAACAAACAAAAUGGAAAAGAAAACUUUAAUUGUUAUAUUCUGCGUAAUUAUAUUAUGCAUUGAUGAAAUAACAUCCAGACCAAAUGGAAUCGCAGCCAAAGCACAUCGUGUGGCUGACGCAAAGAAAAUUGCGAGGAGAUUACGAAUCCGCAGCGCCCUAACACGUAAAACCGAUAAAUAUGAAUUAAAAAAUAAUUGGAAGUUUAGAAAAGGACCCAUUGGAUCAAUACAACCAAAACUCGGUCAAUGAAUUCAAAAAACAUUCAAAUUUUGUACUUAAAUUAUUUAUUCAAGACUUAUAAACACGCUUUUAAAAUAAAAACCAAACUUUUAUAUUUAAAAA